AUCCCUAAAUAUAAAAUGAUGAUGUGGCAAAAUCUCUUUUUUUUUUUAAUUUACGUUUUUUCUCCAUUCUAAAUGCUCAACCUUUCACCUUUCCACAUUUAAUUAAAUGCAUUAUAUUCCACCAAUUAGUGAGCUUUGUAACUCCAAUCCACUCACAUCCACCAUUAAUCCCCCCACCUUUUUUUUUUUGCAUGACAUAUUAUUUUCCAUACAAAAAAGAACAUUAUCAUCUAAUCUCUCACUCCACACUCAUCUCCUUCUCUCUAUCUCAUUGUGUUAACAAAGAUUAUGAGGAUGAUGAAGAAGAAGAGUAUGCAAAGAACGUUGUCUCCUUCAAGAAGUAUCAUCCUGUAAAGUUCAGUCGCGGUCCAUAUAUGAAUCCCCAAUGUAAAAUGAUGACGUGGCAAGCUCUCAUUUUUUUUUAAUUUACGUUUCUUCUCCAUUCUAAAUGCUCAACCCUUCACCUCUCUACAUUUAAUUAAAUGCAUCAUAUUCCACCAAUUAGUGAGCUUUGUAACUCCAAUCCACUCCCCUCCACCAUUAAUCCCCCUUACCCCAUUUUUUUGCAUGGCAUGUUAUUUUUCAUACAAAAAAGAACAUUAUCAUCUAAUCUCUCACCUCACACUUAUCUCCUUCUCUCUUUCUCAUUGUGUUAACAGAGAUUAUGAGGAUAAUGAAGAAGAAGAGGAUGCGAAAAACGUUGUCUCCUUCGAGAAAUAUCGUCCUGUAAAGUCCAGUUGCGGCCCAUAAAAGUACUCGCUGGGCCGGUCUGCGCCGGAGCCCUCGCUCGCUGUGAACCACCACCGCCUCGGCUGACUCCUCGCGCGGCUCGCACGCGCCCACAACUGGGCCGAGGGGAGCGGCGUCCUAGCCUCCUCUUCGCGGGGACGUUGCGCGGGAGCUCCUUCUCAAGAAUCGCUGGAACUUCUUGAUAAAUCAAAUUGUUUAAGAAUUAGGAUAUUUGUGGUUGAUGUAAUGGCAAGGCUGUGUCGGUUUAGAUAUCGUAGUUUGGUGAUGCAGAUGAGGUGUUUGUUCAUAAGUUACAAUAAAAAUCCAGAAGUGACUCGGCGUGGGGAGCAACUACCAGUUGAAAAUUAAGAAGAUGUAUGAGGUUUGGAUGAGUAAAAAAAGUGCUCCAAAAAAGUAUUAGUUUUUUUAAGAUUAAUGUUUUUUGUUUUAUUUUCAUCUUAUGACCAUUUUUUUUAGUAGACACUGUUGUGGGCAAAAUUUCUUUCGUAGAUUAAAAAGUAUGAUGUGGAGACUGGAGCCUGAGACUCCAUCCAAAAUUUUCUUAAGCUAGAUACGUUUAGUUAUUAUUUAUGUAUUUCAUAUGUUUCUAGCUAUAAUUUUAUUUUUUUAACAAUUGAAUUUGCUUAACAUGGUAUAGCUUUCUAUAAGCUGUAAAUAUAAAUUUUAUUAAAAUUUUAAAAAUUUGCUUCUAUUAUUUACCCGUUGCAUCGCGCGGGUUUCUACACUAGUAUCCUUUAAAGUGGGGUAAAA
rnacentral:lncRNA from 1 species